rnacentral:rRNA from 1 species
GAUGAACGCUGGCGGCGUGCUUAACACAUGCCAGUCGAACGGUGAACACGGAGCUUGCUCUGUGGGAUCAGUGGCGAACGGGUGAGUAACACGUGAGCAACCUGCCCCUGACUCUGGGAUAAGCGCUGGAAACGGCGUCUAAUACUGGAUAUGUGACGUGACCGCAUGGUCUGCGUUUGGAAAGAUUUUUCGGUUGGGGAUGGGCUCGCGGCCUAUCAGCUUGUUGGUGAGGUAAUGGCUCACCAAGGCGUCGACGGGUAGCCGGCCUGAGAGGGUGACCGGCCACACUGGGAUUGAGACACGGCCCAGACUCCUACGGGAGGCAGCAGUGGGGAAUAUUGCACAAUGGGCGAAAGCCUGAUGCAGCAACGCCGCGUGAGGGAUGACGGCCUUCGGGUUGUAAACCUGUUUUAGCAGGGAAGAAGCGAAAGUGACGGUACCUGCAGAAAAAGCGCCGGCUAACUACGUG